GAUGAACGCUGGCGGCGUGCCUAAUACAUGCAAGUCGAGCGAAGCGCGGACGGGUGAGUAACACGUGGAUAACCCCCUAUAUGACUGGGGUAACUUCGGGAAACCGGAGCUAAAACGGUUACUUAUAGUAGGAUCCGCGAUGCAUUAGCUAGUUGGUAAGGUAACGGCUUACCAAGGCAACGAUGCAUAGCCGAGCUGAGAGGAUGAUCGGCCACACGUGAACUGAGACACGGUCCAGACUCCUACGGGAGGCAGCAGUAGGGAAUCUUGCGCAAUGGGCGAAAGCCUGACGGAGCAACGCCGCGUUAGUGAUGAAGGUCUUCGGGUCGUAAAACUCUGUUAUUAGGGAAGCGGUACCUAAUCAGAAAGCCACGGCUAACUACGUGCCAGCAGCCGCGGUAAUUC
rnacentral:rRNA from 1 species